rnacentral:misc_RNA from 1 species
AAGUCGUAACAAGGUAACCGUAGGUGAACCUGCGGUUGGAUCAUUAAAGAAUUUUUGGCCCAUCUUUUUUUUUUUGGAGAUGGGCCGCUGUUUUGGGAUUUGGAUUUGGUGGUUUCCGCCAAGUUCAUUUUCUUCAAAAUAGUAAACACCCCCUUUGACGACCAAAACCUGAUUGUUGGUGGCCCGCCAACUCGGUCUUUGUGGGCAAUGUUUUGUUCAUUGCCAACAAGAUCAGGGCCAUCAACGCGUCUUGUGUGCAAUGAUAAUGCGCGCAAGAUUGUUUAAACACCAUGUCAUUUCAGAAAAAGUGAACCUCCGGCGAUCUUUUUCCGUUUUUUAUAUAAAAGUCUCCAUGCGAUCUUUAUUUUGAAGAAAGCUUAUUGUAAUAAAUUACAACUUUUGACAAUGGAUCUCUUGGCUCUCC